CCUACGGGGGGCUGCAGUAGGGAAUCUUGCGCAAUGGGCGAAAGCCUGACGCAGCCAUGCCGCGUGUAUGAUGAAGGUCUUAGGAUUGUAAAAUACUUUCACCGGGGAAGAUAAUGACGGUACCCGGAGAAGAAGCCCCGGCUAACUUCGUGCCAGCAGCCGCGUUAAUACGAAGGGGGCUAGCGUUGCUCGGAAUUACUGGGCGUAAAGGGCGCGUAGGCGGAUAUUUAAGUUGGGGGUGAAAGCCCGGGGCUCAACCUCGGAAUUGCCUUCAAUACUGGAUAUCUUGAGUUCGGGAGAGGUGAGUGGAAUGCCGAGUGUAGAGGUGAAAUUCGUAGAUAUUCGGCGGAACACCAGUGGCGAAGGCGACUCACUGGCCCAAUACUGACGCUGAGGCGCGAAAGCGUGGGGAGCAAACAGGAUUAGAUACCCUUGUAGUC
rnacentral:rRNA from 1 species